GUGGGGAAUAUUGGACAAUGGGCGCAAGCCUGAUCCAGCAAUGCCGCGUGAGUGAUGAAGGCCUUAGGGUUGUAAAGCUCUUUCGCCCGCGACGAUGAUGACGGUAGCGGGAGAAGAAGCCCCGGCUAACUUCGUGCCAGCAGCCGCGGUAAUACGAAGGGGGCGAGCGUUGUUCGGAUUUACUGGGCGUAAAGGGCGCGUAGGCGGCCCUCCUUGUCGCGUGUGAAAGCCCCGGGCUCAACCUGGGAAUUGCGCGCGAAACGGGGGGGCUUGAGUUCGGGAGAGGAGCGUGGAAUUCCCAGUGUAGAGGUGAAAUUCGUAGAUAUUGGGAAGAACACCGGUGGCGAAGGCGGCGCUCUGGACCGAGACUGACGCUGAGGCGCGAAAGCGUGGGGAGCAAACAGGAUUAGAAACCCCAGUAGUCC
rnacentral:rRNA from 1 species